CAACCCUGACAGCUGCAGUUCACACCGGACAGCGGAGGAGAAAUGGAGCCUGAAAGAGAAGAAGUGAGAGAAAGAGAGAGAAGACGAGAGAGAGGAAGUGGACCCCGGAGGCCAUGGGACAGGCCAUCCAGGGGGUGAAAGCAGGCAGGCUGAGUCUGGGGCAGGCAGCCAAACAGUUUGGGGUCCCAAAAACGAGCCUGAGUGACCGAGUCAGUGGAAGGGUGGCCUCUGAUUGUGUGCACGGUCAGAGGCCACUUCUCACCCCUGCAGAUGAAGAUUCCCUGGUAGAGUACUGCAUUUACUCUGCCAGUCAUGGGUUUCCACUGACAAAGCCUCAGGUUGGGCCAGACGUGGUGGCUCAACUUCCAGAGGAGGCAAGGCCAGCGCUUCACUUCUCGGACCCCAGACAAUAUUGACCCUGGGAGGGCAUCCUGUGCAAAGAGGGGGCCAAUUGAACACUACUUCAGGCUCCUCACUACCACCCUGGAGGAGCACGGGUAGAGGGAGAAACCCCGUCAAAUCUAUAACUGCGAUGAGACGGGGUUUCUCGUCGAGAAGAAAGGUCCUCGUGCCCCGGGGGACAAAACAUGCUUAUAGACAGGCCCAGGGGACCAGGGACCACGUCACCGUCCUGGCCUGCCUCAACGUGGCUGGGGAGGAUAUCCCCCCUUUCAUAAUUUACAAGGGGGGAUAUCCCGGGGGGCCCUACAACAAGGAGGGGGUCCCCGAUGCCCUCUACAGGAAGUCACCGGCAGGGUACAUGGACAGUGAGCUGUUCAGGAAGUGGGACCUCCUCGCCACCUCCGCCAACCCCAUUAGCAUCAUCCUGGGCCAUGCCUGAUGUUACCCACCCAUCCCAACACCCCCCCCCAACACACACACCAGAGUCCACCCCCUGUUCCUAGUCCACCCAAUCCCUACUGUACCCAUCCCCUGGUAACAUCAGGCAGGAUCUCAGUAGACCUGGCCCACCUCCUGCCCGAGGUGCGUUAUAACACCGGCAAGGUCAGGAGGAAUACCACCAAGGCCAGGAUACUGACGGCUCAGGAGAUGUCUGACGCCAUCGAGGAGGCGGAGGACCGUGCUGCAAGGCGGGACGCCCAAGCUCCGGCCAGAGAGCAGCGGCGGGCCGAAAACAACGGCCCGACAGCCACUUCCUCUACCCUGCCUGGUGGCUCCCGUCCCAGCCGCAGGAGAACAGCAUCCCCCGGGGCUGCCUCGGCCUCCAGCUCCAGCCUUUCCAUCGCCGGUCCCUCAACCCGCUCGGCCCCCUCUAGUGCCUCCCACGGUCACCGGCUGCCUGCCCCCAGCGGAACAUCCCCACCUGCCUGCCUGCUCCUGGCUGGCUACUGGAUGAGCCAUCAACAACUGCCUUCGGCCUCCGAGGGUCCAGAUUAUCUUCCUCUCCCUCCCAAUCCCGGACCCCUGUACUGCAGGAUUAAUUUAAGUGUCCCUGUCCUGGACCGUUUUCUUAAUGGCCAGGACACCAGACCUGAUUUCAGGCUGAGCAGGGAGGCCCUGGAAGUGCUGCUGGACCUUCUCCACCAGGAGCAGAGACAUGGAUGGGGUGCCACCAUUGAGACCCUGGUGAUUUUUGUUCUGGCUGGCUAG
ensembl:lncRNA